UAAGCGACUAAGCGUACACGGUGGAUGCCCUGGCAGUCAGAGGCGAUGAAGGACGUGCUAAUCUGCGAUAAGCGUCGGUAAGGUGAUAUGAACCGUUAUAACCGGCGAUUUCCGAAUGGGGAAACCCAGUGUGUUUCGACACACUAUCAUUAACUGAAUCCAUAGGUUAAUGAGGCGAACCGGGGGAACUGAAACAUCUAAGUACCCCGAGGAAAAGAAAUCAACCGAGAUUCCCCCAGUAGCGGCGAGCGAACGGGGAGCAGCCCAGAGCCUGAAUCAGUGUGUGUGUUAGUGGAAGCGUCUGGAAAGGCGCGCGAUACAGGGUGACAGCCCCGUACACAAAAAUGCACAUGCUGUGAGCUCGAUGAGUAGGGCGGGACACGUGGUAUCCUGUCUGAAUAUGGGGGGACCAUCCUCCAAGGCUAAAUACUCCUGACUGACCGAUAGUGAACCAGUACCGUGAGGGAAAGGCGAAAAGAACCCCGGCGAGGGGAGUGAAAAAGAACCUGAAACCGUGUACGUACAAGCAGUGGGAGCACGCUUAGGCGUGUGACUGCGUACCUUUUGUAUAAUGGGUCAGCGACUUAUAUUCUGUAGCAAGGUUAACCGAAUAGGGGAGCCGAAGGGAAACCGAGUCUUAACUGGGCGUUAAGUUGCAGGGUAUAGACCCGAAACCCGGUGAUCUAGCCAUGGGCAGGUUGAAGGUUGGGUAACACUAACUGGAGGACCGAACCGACUAAUGUUGAAAAAUUAGCGGAUGACUUGUGGCUGGGGGUGAAAGGCCAAUCAAACCGGGAGAUAGCUGGUUCUCCCCGAAAGCUAUUUAGGUAGCGCCUCGUGAAUUCAUCUCCGGGGGUAGAGCACUGUUUCGGCAAGGGGGUCAUCCCGACUUACCAACCCGAUGCAAACUGCGAAUACCGGAGAAUGUUAUCACGGGAGACACACGGCGGGUGCUAACGUCCGUCGUGAAGAGGGAAACAACCCAGACCGCCAGCUAAGGUCCCAAAGUCAUGGUUAAGUGGGAAACGAUGUGGGAAGGCCCAGACAGCCAGGAUGUUGGCUUAGAAGCAGCCAUCAUUUAAAGAAAGCGUAAUAGCUCACUGGUCGAGUCGGCCUGCGCGGAAGAUGUAACGGGGCUAAACCAUGCACCGAAGCUGCGGCAGCGACGCUUAUGCGUUGUUGGGUAGGGGAGCGUUCUGUAAGCCUGCGAAGGUGUGCUGUGAGGCAUGCUGGAGGUAUCAGAAGUGCGAAUGCUGACAUAAGUAACGAUAAAGCGGGUGAAAAGCCCGCUCGCCGGAAGACCAAGGGUUCCUGUCCAACGUUAAUCGGGGCAGGGUGAGUCGACCCCUAAGGCGAGGCCGAAAGGCGUAGUCGAUGGGAAACAGGUUAAUAUUCCUGUACUUGGUGUUACUGCGAAGGGGGGACGGAGAAGGCUAUGUUGGCCGGGCGACGGUUGUCCCGGUUUAAGCGUGUAGGCUGGUUUUCCAGGCAAAUCCGGAAAAUCAAGGCUGAGGCGUGAUGACGAGGCACUACGGUGCUGAAGCAACAAAUGCCCUGCUUCCAGGAAAAGCCUCUAAGCAUCAGGUAACAUCAAAUCGUACCCCAAACCGACACAGGUGGUCAGGUAGAGAAUACCAAGGCGCUUGAGAGAACUCGGGUGAAGGAACUAGGCAAAAUGGUGCCGUAACUUCGGGAGAAGGCACGCUGAUAUGUAGGUGAGGUCCCUCGCGGAUGGAGCUGAAAUCAGUCGAAGAUACCAGCUGGCUGCAACUGUUUAUUAAAAACACAGCACUGUGCAAACACGAAAGUGGACGUAUACGGUGUGACGCCUGCCCGGUGCCGGAAGGUUAAUUGAUGGGGUUAGCCGCAAGGCGAAGCUCUUGAUCGAAGCCCCGGUAAACGGCGGCCGUAACUAUAACGGUCCUAAGGUAGCGAAAUUCCUUGUCGGGUAAGUUCCGACCUGCACGAAUGGCGUAAUGAUGGCCAGGCUGUCUCCACCCGAGACUCAGUGAAAUUGAACUCGCUGUGAAGAUGCAGUGUACCCGCGGCAAGACGGAAAGACCCCGUGAACCUUUACUAUAGCUUGACACUGAACAUUGAGCCUUGAUGUGUAGGAUAGGUGGGAGGCUUGGAAGUGUGGACGCCAGUCUGCAUGGAGCCGACCUUGAAAUACCACCCUUUAAUGUUUGAUGUUCUAACGUUGACCCGUAAUCCGGGUUGCGGACAGUGUCUGGUGGGUAGUUUGACUGGGGCGGUCUCCUCCUAAAGAGUAACGGAGGAGCACGAAGGUUGGCUAAUCCUGGUCGGACAUCAGGAGGUUAGUGCAAUGGCAUAAGCCAGCUUGACUGCGAGCGUGACGGCGCGAGCAGGUGCGAAAGCAGGUCAUAGUGAUCCGGUGGUUCUGAAUGGAAGGGCCAUCGCUCAACGGAUAAAAGGUACUCCGGGGAUAACAGGCUGAUACCGCCCAAGAGUUCAUAUCGACGGCGGUGUUUGGCACCUCGAUGUCGGCUCAUCACAUCCUGGGGCUGAAGUAGGUCCCAAGGGUAUGGCUGUUCGCCAUUUAAAGUGGUACGCGAGCUGGGUUUAGAACGUCGUGAGACAGUUCGGUCCCUAUCUGCCGUGGGCGCUGGAGAACUGAGGGGGGCUGCUCCUAGUACGAGAGGACCGGAGUGGACGCAUCACUGGUGUUCGGGUUGUCAUGCCAAUGGCACUGCCCGGUAGCUAAAUGCGGAAGAGAUAAGUGCUGAAAGCAUCUAAGCACGAAACUUGCCCCGAGAUGAGUUCUCCCUGACUCCUUGAGAGUCCUGAAGGAACGUUGAAGACGACGACGUUGAUAGGCCGGGUGUGUAAGCGCAGCGAUGCGUUGAGCUAACCGGUACUAAUGAACCGUGAGGCUUAACCU
rnacentral:rRNA from 1 species